UACGGGGGGGGUAAGCGUUGUUCGGAAUUACUGGGCGUAAAGGGCGCGUAGGCGGCCUUGUAAGUCCUGUGUGAAAUCCCCCGGCUCAACUGGGGAACUGCACAGGAGACUGCUUGGCUUGAGUUCGGGAGAGGGAAGCGGAAUUCCGGGUGUAGCGGUGAAAUGCGUAGAUAUCCGGAGGAACACCGGUGGCGAAGGCGGCUUCCUGGACCGACACUGACGCUGAGGCGCGAAAGCCAGGGGAGCAAACGGG
rnacentral:rRNA from 1 species